AGGAACCUACGGGGGGCAGCAGUGGGGAAUAUUGCACAAUGGGGGGAACCCUGAUGCAGCGACGCCGCGUGAGUGAAGAAGUAGUUCGGUAUGUAAAGCUCUAUCAGCAGGGAAGAAGAUGACGGUACCUGACUAAGAAGCCCCGGCUAACUACGUGCCAGCAGCCGCGGUAAUACGUAGGGGGCAAGCGUUAUCCGGAUUUACUGGGUGUAAAGGGAGCGUAGACGGCAGGGCAAGUCUGGAGUGAAAGCCCGGGGCUCAACCCCGGGACUGCAUUGGAAACUACCGAACU
rnacentral:rRNA from 1 species